rnacentral:rRNA from 1 species
GACAGAGGAUGCAAGCGUUAUCCGGAAUGAUUGGGCGUAAAGCGUCUGUAGGUGGCUUUUAAGUCUGCCGUCAAAUCCCAGGGCUUAACCCUGGACAGGCGGUGGAAACUACCAAGCUGGAGUACGGUAGGGGCAGAUGGAAUUCCGGGUGUAGCGGUGGAAUGCGUAGAGAUCCGGAAAGAACACCGGUGGCGAAGGCGGUCUGCUGGGGCAGUUCGCUGACACUGAGGCGCGACACGUGGGAGCAACAGGA